AGGAUUUUACCUCCUCAUCUCAACCCAAGCCUGGCUCAUUGUUAAAAACAUCACCUUGCCCACAAUCACCUCGCAAAGAGGCAGUCUUUUCUCAGCUUAGGGUCCCACCCAUAGCAGCCCCUUCCCUGACCACCCUAUCUAUUGUAGCACCCCAACUCUCUGAUCCACUGUUCUCUUCUUUCAGCCCCUUCCUUCUUUCUUUUUAUUAAAACACUUAUUA
rnacentral:lncRNA from 1 species